rnacentral:misc_RNA from 1 species
CCUGCCUCGAUCCGCGGCGUCAUGGUUGCCGUAACAACCCUUCUUCAGUGGUUUUCAUUCUUUUCCCUGGCUACCCUGCAGAAGCCGUUUCUGCCGGUGGUCAAGGAUGUUCUCGUGUACGUGUGCAUGAGCGGCGCGCUGCUCUACCUGGUGACGAUUGUGCUGGCCUUCGGGCUUGCAGAUAAGGAGAUGGAGCAAUACCUGACACAGACGGCGCGUGCUGCGGUGCCAGACGGUAUGUCGACGAAAGGCAACGCCGUGCUCGUGCCCUUUUCGUAUGAGGCGUUUGUGAGUGCCUCUGUCACUGUGAGUGUCGUGGCAGCGCUCGCUGUUCUGCUGUGCUGCAGCUUUGUGCUACAAGUGGCAUGGGACGGCAUGGUGACCUGUGUGGCGCCGAUGGUGGCGCUGACGGUGAACACGGUGAAGCCCAAGUGCUGGGACACCGCAGAGGAUUAUCGUGGGAAGGUGCCACCACCGCCAGAGGCGGCAACGUAGAAACAACAUCGGCAGCUUGCCUGGUCGGCUUUCCCGGCUAGCAUAGCUAGAGUGGUGGCGCGUUGUUCCUUCCGCUACUCGCAGGCCGCGGCUGAGCGGUGGUGAUGGCAUCGCUGCGGCGCUCGAUGGCCGUUCUCUCUCUGUGCGUGGCUCUCCGUGAAAGCAGGUGCGCACUAGUGUGUCCUUUGAAGGGGCUGUCCUGAGCCUCCGCUGCUGAGCGGAAGCGCGUCGAGGAAUGAGGAGAAACACACAGGAGCAGCCCUCCGCGUCCGCGCGGCCCCACACCCGAUGGCUCGUACCUACCCACCAGCAGAGUGCUGUAUGGGCACUGCCAGUUGCACGAUUCACCGCUUCCCUUUCAAACAAAGUGAUUUCGACCGCACCGAUAUGCUCACCUACUGUGGGGCCCGCUCUCGCAGCACUGCCGCAAGAGAGCGACGCGUCUCCUUUCUGCACCGUAGGCGCUAGCGUCUCGGAAGGGCUUGGAGGAGGCGGGUUCAGUGGCGCUGGCGCGGGCCACGGUCACCAGCGGCGGCACCGCUCUAGAGAAAGGCAGCCUACUUCCGCUUUCUUCCACCCGCGCGUUCGUCUCAUGCCCCUCCGCCUCCUCCUUCGUGUCCCUCUACGGCCAUCUCAACAUCUGCACCUUCCUCGCUUUUUUUUUUGCGUUUCCUCGUCGCAG